rnacentral:rRNA from 1 species
UACGUAGGGGGCAAGCGUUGUCCGGAUUCAUUGGGCGUAAAGCGCGCGCAGGCGGCCAUUCAAGUCAGGGGUGAAAGCCCAGAGCUCAACUCUGGAACUGCCUUUGAAACUGUAUGGCUUGAGUAUGAGAGAGGUGAGUGGAAUUCCCAGUGUAGAGGUGAAAUUCGUAGAUAUUGGGAAGAACACCGGUGGCGAAGGCGGCUCACUGGCUCAUUACUGACGCUCAGGCGCGACAGCGUGGGGAUCAAACAGG